rnacentral:rRNA from 1 species
AUGAACGCUAGCUACAGGCUUAACACAUGCAAGUCGAGGGGCAGCAUGAACUUAGCUUGCUAAGUUUGAUGGCGACCGGCGCACGGGUGAGUAACACGUAUCCAACCUGCCGAUGACUCGGGGAUAGCCUUUCGAAAGAAAGAUUAAUACCCGAUGGCAUAGUUCUUCCGCAUGGUAGAACUAUUAAAGAAUUUCGGUCAUCGAUGGGGAUGCGUUCCAUUAGGUUGUUGGCGGGGUAACGGCCCACCAAGCCUUCGAUGGAUAGGGGUUCUGAGAGGAAGGUCCCCCACAUUGGAACUGAGACACGGUCCAAACUCCUACGGGAGGCAGCAGUGAGGAAUAUUGGUCAAUGGACGAGAGUCUGAACCAGCCAAGUAGCGUGAAGGAUGACUGCCCUAUGGGUUGUAAACUUCUUUUAUACGGGAAUAAAGUGAGGCACGUGUGCCUUUUUGUAUGUACCGUAUGAAUAAGGAUCGGCUAACUCCGUGCCAGCAGCCGCGGUAAUACGGAGGAUCCGAGCGUUAUCCGGAUUUAUUGGGUUUAAAGGGAGCGUAGGCGGACGCUUAAGUCAGUUGUGAAAGUUUGCGGCUCAACCGUAAAAUUGCAGUUGAUACUGGGUGUCUUGAGUACAGUAGAGGCAGGCGGAAUUCGUGGUGUAGCGGUGAAAUGCUUAGAUAUCACGAAGAACUCCGAUUGCGAAGGCAGCUUGCUGGACUGUAACUGACGCUGAUGCUCGAAAGUGUGGGUAUCAAACAGGAUUAGAUACCCUGGUAGUCCACACAGUAAACGAUGAAUACUCGCUGUUUGCGAUAUACAGUAAGCGGCCAAGCGAAAGCGUUAAGUAUUCCACCUGGGGAGUACGCCGGCAACGGUGAAACUCAAAGGAAUUGACGGGGGCCCGCACAAGCAGUGGAGUAUGUGGUUUAAUUCGAAGCAACGCGAAGAACCUUACCAGCACUUGACAUCCAACUAACGAAAUAGAGAUAUAUUAGGUGCCCUUCGGGGAAAGUUGAGACAGGUGGUGCAUGGUUGUCGUCAGCUCGUGUCGUGAGAUGUUGGGUUAAGUCCCGCAACGAGCGCAACCCUUGCUAUUAGUUGCUACGCAAGAGCACUCUAAUAGGACUGCCGUUGACAAAACGGAGGAAGGUGGGGACGACGUCAAAUCAUCAUGCCCCUUAUGACCUGGGCUACACACGUACUACAAUGGAUGUAAACAGAGGGAAGCAAAAUAGCGAUAUGGAGCAAACCCCUAAAAGCAUUCUCAGUUCAGAUUGCAGGCUGCAACUCGCCUGUAUGAAGUUGGAAUUGCUAGUAAUCGCGGAUCAGCAUGCCGCGGUGAAUACGUUCCCGGGCCUUGUACACACCGCCCGUCACACCAUGGGAGCCGGUAAUACCCGAAGUCAGUAGUCUAACCGCAAGGAGGACGCUGCCGAAGGUAGGAUUGGCGACUGGGGUG